UACGGAGGGGACUAGCGUUGUUCGGAAUUACUGGGCGUAAAGGGCGCGUAGGCGGCCUUCUAAGUCGAACGUGAAAUCCCCGGGCUCAACCCGGGAACUGCGUCCGAUACUGGAAGGCUUGAAUCCGGGAGAGGGAUGCGGAAUUCCCAGUGUAGCGGUGAAAUGCGUAGAUAUUGGGAGGAACACCAGUGGCGAAGGCGGCUCACUGGACCGGUACUGACGCUGAGGCGCGAAAGCGUGGGGAGCAAACAGG
rnacentral:rRNA from 1 species